GCUUAGCUCAGUGGUCUGUGCCUGUAGUCCUAGCUCCUUGGGAGGCUGAGGCAGGAGGAUCACUUGAGCCCAGGAGGUCAAGGCUAGCCUGGGCGACACAGUAACACCCAACCCCAA
rnacentral:sRNA from 1 species